CCAUGCGCGUUCCCACCGUGGAACGGGAUCCAUCGAUUUACCCGGAGGAGCUGCCCGGUUCCAAAGCCAAUACAGCCCGUGGCCCUCUGUCCCCGCAGCCCGCGGGGUCCCGGCACGGAGCUCCCGAGCACCCGCACAGCGCGAGCCGCCGCUGCUGCCGCAUCCCCUGUGCAAACCAUGCGUGGCCGUCUCCUUUUUCGUUCCUUGUUAUAAAAAGUGCUCAGUUCCUUCGAUCAUCGGGCUGCUGUCUUUAGCAUAUUUCCAGCACUAAAAUUUUUUUUAAAGAAAAAUCUAGCAGCUAAAUGUUCUUUCAGGAGGCAUAGAAGCCACCCCAGCUAUCUGCCACAGCCAUGCAUGUGUCACUAUGCCCAAGCACGAUCAGCAUGAAGCUGAAGAGGCACUGUUUUCCUCCUCUUUUCUUCCGGUCCCAAAGUCUUUACCUUUUCCCAGUAGUGGAUUGAUAAAUGUAAACACAACUUGUCCCUGCAGCUUCUCUGCAGAUGCAGCGUGUACUAGCAGCAGCAUUGUCUGUCUUCAUUUCCCCCUGUGAGUUCUGGUUGCACUGUGACAUUCAGUGUUGAACAGGAGGCCUGAGGCACUGCUCCUGCCAUUGAGUCUUCUGAAGCAUCGCUUUGCUUUCACAUGCCAAGGGUGACUGAAGGUGUGGGUUUACUUGUGAUUCAAGUCUGAAAAUAUAAGAUGAAAACCGUGGAAUUUGGAUCAUAAACAUACUGGAGAAAGUUUGUGAAAUGGCUUCUUCGAUGAGAACUUAAAACGUGCUAAAGCAGAGGCAGCCACAGAUUUUGCACAGCUUUCUCCUGCAGCAACUCGUAUAGCAAGGGCAGCCUGCGUGCUCUUGUGCCAGAACCUGUGACCUGAGGACAAGCUGAGCUGCUCUGGCUGUUGUUUUAUGGGUUCAGUCCUCCACAAGCACAGCAAUUUAGAAGAAUUUGGAGAAGGUCCCACGAGCCCAAGGCAGAGCCCACAUCUCCUGGCGACCCCCAAGUCUGGACUGGAAGAGUUGGUCUCACCAAGUAGGGAUCUACAGCAGCUUCCCAGAGAGGCUGCAAAGGAUUCAGCAAUGUCAAGGUUGUCCCCAUUCCCCAACUCCAUCAACCCAAGGUAUGGCACAGGGGAUUCUGCCUUUCAGAGACCUCAGGAAGGCAGAAAGACCAAGGAGAAUUGGGGUCAUGUCACAUGAGCUGCCUUACUCUCUGGGCUGGGUAACUGGUGCCAGUGCUGCAGCCGUGGCACUGGCAUGAGGUUGUGAAGGGUUUCAACACACAGCUCAGUGUCCAUAUCAGCUGUGGCUUGGUGAGGCCUGCAGCCUGGCUCCAGCCUGGCUCCAGCCUUCCCUUGCAAAGCUCCACUGGUCUG